rnacentral:rRNA from 1 species
GUGAAUACGUUCCCGGGCCUUGUACACACCGCCCGUCACACCACGAGAGUUUGUAACACCCGAAGUCGGUGAGGUAACCUUUUGGAGCCAGCCGCCGAAGGUGGGACAGAUGAUUGGGGUGAAGUCGUAACAAGGUAGCCGUAUCGGAAGGUGCGGCUGGAUCACCUCCUUUCUAAGGAUAUUAUACGGAAUAUAAGACCUUGCGGUCUUAUAG